rnacentral:tRNA from 41 species
GGGGCCUUAGCUCAGUUGGUAGAGCGCCUGCUUUGCAAGCAGGAUGUCAGGAGUUCGAAUCUCCUAGGCUCCACCA